UGAGGAAUAUUGGGCAAUGCCCGCAAGGGUGACCCAGCAACGCCGCGUGGAGGAUGAAUGUCGUAAGAUUGUAAACUCCUGUUAGAGGGGAAGAAUAGUACCGGUUGGACCGGUAUAUGACUGUACCCUCAGAGAAAGCCCCGGCUAACUACGUGCCAGCAGCCGCGGUAAUACGUAGGGGGCAAGCGUUGUCCGGAUUUACUGGGUGUAAAGGGCGCGCAGGCGGGAUAAAAAGUCAGUAGUGAAAUCCUACAGCUUAACUGUAGAACUGCCUUUGAUACUUUUAUUCUUGAGUUCGGGAGAGAGAGACGGAAUUCCAGGUGUAGUGGUGAAAUACGUAGAUAUCUGGAAGAACACCAGUUGCGAAGGCGGUCUCUUGGUCCGACACUGACGCUGAGGCGCGAAAGCGUGGGGAGCAAACA
rnacentral:rRNA from 1 species